UAUACAUGCAAGUCGAGCGGACAGAAGGGAGCUUGCUCCCGGAUGUUAGCGGCGGACGGGUGAGUAACACGUGGGUAACCUGCCUGUAAGACUGGGAUAACUCCGGGAAACCGGAGCUAAUACCGGAUAGUUCCUUGAACCGCAUGGUUCAAGGAUGAAAGACGGUUUCGGCUGUCACUUACAGAUGGACCCGCGGCGCAUUAGCUAGUUGGUGAGGUAACGGCUCACCAAGGCGACGAUGCGUAGCCGACCUGAGAGGGUGAUCGGCCACACUGGGACUGAGACACGGCCCAGACUCCUACGGGAGGCAGCAGUAGGGAAUCUUCCGCAAUGGACGAAAGUCUGACGGAGCAACGCCGCGUGAGUGAUGAAGGUUUUCGGAUCGUAAAGCUCUGUUGUUAGGGAAGAACAAGUGCAAGAGUAACUGCUUGCACCUUGACGGUACCUAACCAGAAAGCCACGGCUAACUACGUGCCAGCAGCCGCGGUAAUACGUAGGUGGCAAGCGUUGUCCGGAAUUAUUGGGCGUAAAGGGCUCGCAGGCGGUUUCUUAAGUCUGAUGUGAAAGCCCCCGGCUCAACCGGGGAGGGUCAUUGGAAA
rnacentral:rRNA from 1 species